rnacentral:rRNA from 1 species
GUCGAACGAUGAAGCCCUUCGGGGUGGAUUAGUGGCGAACGGGUGAGUAACACGUGGGUAAUCUGCCCUGCACUCUGGGACAAGCCCUGGAAACGGGGUCUAAUACCGGAUACGACUCGGGGAGGCAUCUCCUCGGGUGGAAAGCUCCGGCGGUGCAGGAUGAGCCCGCGGCCUAUCAGCUUGUUGGUGAGGUAACGGCUCACCAAGGCGACGACGGGUAGCCGGCCUGAGAGGGCGACCGGCCACACUGGGACUGAGACACGGCCCAGACUCCUACGGGAGGCAGCAGUGGGGAAUAUUGCACAAUGGGCGCAAGCCUGAUGCAGCGACGCCGCGUGAGGGAUGACGGCCUUCGGGUUGUAAACCUCUUUCAGCAGGGAAGAAGCGCAAGUGACGGUACCUGCAGAAGAAGCGCCGGCUAACUACGUGCCAGCAGCCGCGGUAAUACGUAGGGCGCAAGCGUUGUCCGGAAUUAUUGGGCGUAAAGAGCUCGUAGGCGGCUUGUCGCGUCGGUUGUGAAAGCCCGGGGCUUAACCCCGGGUCUGCAGUCGAUACGGGCAGGCUAGAGUUCGGUAGGGGAGAUCGGAAUUCCUGGUGUAGCGGUGAAAUGCGCAGAUAUCAGGAGGAACACCGGUGGCGAAGGCGGAUCUCUGGGCCGAUACUGACGCUGAGGAGCGAAAGCGUGGGGAGCGAACAGGAUU